AGUCGAGCGAGMCCKUCGGGUCUAGCGGCGGACGGGUGAGUAACGCGUGGSMNCGUGCCCUUUGCUACGGAAUAGUCCCGGGAAACUGGGUUUAAUACCGUAUGUGCCCUUCGGGGGARAGAUUUAUCGGCAAAGGAUCGGCCCGCGUUGGAUUWGGUAGUUGGKGGGGUAAUGGCCUACSAAGCCGACGAUCCAUWGSUGGUUUGAGAGGAUGAYCAGCCACACUGGGACUGAGACAYKNNCNNRACUCMNACGGGAGGCAGCAGUGGGGAAUCUUAGACAAUGGGGGCAACCCUGAUCUAGCCAUGCCGCGUGAGUGAUGAAGGCCUUAGGGUUGUAAAGCUCUUUCAGSKGGGAAGAUAAUGACGGUACCAGCAGAAGAAGCCCCGGCUAACUCCGUGCCAGCAGCCGCGGUAAUACGGAGGGGGCUAGCGUUGUUCGGAAUUACUGGGCGUAAAGCGCACGUAGGCGGACUGGAAAGUUGGGGGUGAAAUCCCGGGGCUCAACCUCGGAACUGCCUUCAAAACUAUCAGUCUGGAGUUCGAGAGAGGNNANUGGAAUACCGAGUGUNGAGGUGAAAUUCGUAGAUAUUCGGUGGNNCNCCAGUGGCGAAGGCGGCUCACUGGCUCGAUACUGACGCUGAGGUGCGAAAGCGUGGGGAGCAAACAGGAUUAGAUA
rnacentral:rRNA from 1 species